rnacentral:sRNA from 1 species
CAAAUUAGAAGUAUUUCCAGCGCACAUUUUUGUUUUGUUUUUGUUUCUCUUUCUUUUGAAAAAAAACGCACCGAUUUGCCAGCUUGUAAAAUUCGAAUCCAUUGUUGAAAAAAAUUUUUUUUCGACACUGAACAACAAUGGAUGGACGCUCGCAUUAUAAUAAUUCUCAACACAAUUUUGGCCAUGGAUUGAAUCUCGAUUGCCCGAAUGGAAAUUGUUCUCGCAUGAAUGCUGGGAGCCGACAAUCGUGUUGUCCUGGCUGCAAUUGUUGUCCUGGCAAUUUUCGCAUGCGCGAUGGAACCGACAGGCAGCCAUCUUGGACUACAGGCAAUGGGCGUCGGCAAUAAAGAGCUCAACGCUGGCAUUUCUGGCAAAUCGGUGCGUGAUUUCAGCAGACUUCCAUGCCGUUAUCGCACUGCUGCUAUAUAGACAGGAUUUAUCUCUCUCCACACAUAAUGUUUUCUUUUUCGUGUGCAGUGAUAUUUUAAAUAAUUAAACAACCAACAUAACAGUUACACAAACUA